AGAAGAAAGAUGAAAGAGAAGAUUACAAAAAGCUAGAGAUCUCAAAUUCCAUAUAUGGACGCCCAUUUUUACAGACACUCCAAACGUAAAUUAAAAACCGCAAAAAAAGAGAAAAAAAAUUCAACAAAAUUGUUUGAUGGAUUCACAUCUGUUGGUGAUUCCGAUCACAUCUUUACAUAAGAUAUCUGUACUUCUUAUUUUAAACUUGAUAUCCUAAAUCAUAAGCCACUUUCUGUCCUUUUUUUUAUUGUUAUUAUUUGGGGCUUAUAGCUUCAUUGAUCAUCAUCAAGAUUCAUUGAUUAUAUCAUUAUUAGUGAAGAAAUCAAGCGACUGCAACCGUUCCAUUUAGUACAGCUUUAUUCGAAUCAGUUUCUUUAGUUGUUUGAGUCUCUGUUUUUGUUCUUGAAGAUCUCUUUGCUGCAGCAAUUUUCCAUUUUCUUUCAAUUGCUUCAUCCAUUUCUAUCUGUUCUUGUCUGCAUUCUUGGCUACAAAAUGGUGUAUCCCCUCUGUACAUGAAGAUGUCAUGGUUGUGAGCUAAGGUUCUCUGGCAAAGAGAACAAGUAUCAAGAAAAUGGGGUUGGUAAUUUUCUUCACACCCAGUGUAGUAUAGUGCAGCAUUCAUUUUUCUUCCUUAAUGUUAGAAGAGAUUUAAAAAGUGGAAAAUUGGGUUUGUUAUGUAAGGAAGGAAACUGGAUCUAAUUGAGAAGAAUGAUUGAUAAGAGCAGAGAAGAGUGGGAAAAGUAGAUUCUGGGAGGAAGACAAAGGAAGCCCAAAG
rnacentral:misc_RNA from 1 species